rnacentral:rRNA from 1 species
AUUGAACGCUGGCGGCAUGCCUUACACAUGCAAGUCGAACGGUAGCGGGCCUUCGGGUGCCGACGAGUGGCGAACGGGUGAGUAAUGUAUCGGAACGUACCUUUCAGUGGGGGAUAACGUAGCGAAAGUUGCGCUAAUACCGCAUAUUCUGUGAGCAGGAAAGCAGGGGAUCGCAAGACCUUGCGCUGAUUGAGCGGCCGAUAUAAGAUUAGCUAGUUGGGGAGGUAAAGGCUCACCAAGGGGACGAUCUGUAGCGGGUCUGAGAGGAUGAUCCGCCACACUGAAACUGAGACACGGUCCAGACUCCUACGGGAGGCAGCAGUGGGGAAUUUUGGACAAUGGGGGCAACCCUGAUCCAGCCAUGCCGCGUGAGUGAAGAAGGCCUUCGGGUUGUAAAGCUCUUUCGGCCGGGAAGAAAUCGUAUCAGCUAAUACCUGGUGCGGAUGACGGUACCGGCAUAAGAAGCACCGGCUAACUACGUGCCAGCCGCCGCAGUAAUAC